GGGAAUGUAGCUCAGUGGCAGAGGACUUGCCUUUCAUGAGCAAGGACUUGGGUUCUAUCCCUAACACUGCAA
rnacentral:tRNA from 1 species